CUGAGCUGAAACCAAGAGUUGGGACAUUUAACUGACUGAGCUACCCAGGCACUCCUCAGGUUCCAACCCACUGACCACGUGGAUAAUCAGACCUUCUCCACAUUCCACCUGCAGACUCAGACUUCUUUCUUAUCACCAGCUCUCAAUUCACAUAGAAAACUGAAGUCAUGGGCUUCCCACAUCUUCAUCACUUGGCCAAAAAUGUUUUAUUUAUUGGAGAGAGAACACAAGCAGACGGAGCAGCAGAGGGAGAGGGAGAAGCAGGCUCCCCACGGAACAGGGAACCAGUCGUGGGGUUUGAUCCCAGGACCCCCAGAUCUUGACCUGAGCGGAGGGUAGAUGUUUCACCAACUGGGCCACCCAGGUCCC